rnacentral:rRNA from 1 species
GAUGAACGCUGGCGGCGUGCCUAAUACAUGCAAGUCGAGCGAACAGAUGAGGAGCUUGCUCCUCUGACGUUAGCGGCGGACGGGUGAGUAACACGUGGAUAACCUACCUAUCAGACUGGGAUAACUUCGGGAAACCGGAGCUAAUACCGGAUAAUAUAUUGAACCGCAUGGUUCAAUAGUUAAAGACGGUUUUGCUGUCACUUAUAGAUGGAUCCGCGCCGCAUUAGCUAGUUGGUAAGGUAACGGCUUACCAAGGCAACGAUGCGUAGCCGACCUGAGAGGGUGAUCGGCCACACUGGAACUGAGACACGGUCCAGACUCCUGCGGGAGGCAGCAGUAGGGAAUCUUCCGCAAUGGGCGAAAGCCUGACGGAGCAACGCCGCGUGAGUGAUGAAGGUCUUCGGAUCGUAAAACUCUGUUAUUAGGGAAGAACAAAUGUGUAAGUAACUAUGCACGUCUUGACGGUACCGAAUCAGAAAGCCACGGCUAACUACGUG